UACCUGGUUGAUCCUGCCAGUAGUCAUAUGCUUGUCUCAAAGAUUAAGCCAUGCAAGUCUAAGUACGAGCUCUCGUACAGUGAAACUGCGAAUGGCUCAUUAAAUCAGUUAUGGUUCAUUUGAUCGUACAGUUUACUUGGAUAACUGUGGUAAUUCUAGAGCUAAUACAUGCGAGAAGCGCCGACCUCGCGGGAGGCGUGCAUUUAUCAGACCAAAAACCGGCCGCGUCUUCGGGCGCGUUCGCCUUGGUGACUCUGGAUAACUUUGCGGAUCGCACGGUCUAGCACCGGCGACGGAUCAUUCAAGUGUCUGCGCUAUCAACUUUCGUCGGUACGGUAUUUGCCUACCGAGGUUCUUACGGGUGACGGGGAAUCAGGGUUCGAUUCCGGAGAGGGAGCCUGAGAAACGGCUACCACAUCCAAGGAAGGCAGCAGGCGCGCAAAUUACCCAUUCCCGACGCGGGGAGGUAGUGACGAAAAAUAACAAUGCAGGACUCGUUCGAGGCCCUGUAAUUGGAAUGAGUACACUUUAAAAGCUUUAACGAGUAUCCAUUGGAGGGCAAGUCUGGUGCCAGCAGCCGCGGUAAUUCCAGCUCCAAAAGUAUAUAUUUAAGUUGUUGCGGUUAAAAAGCUCGUAGUUGGAUUUUGGGCGCAGGCGGCCGGUCCGUCGCAAGGCGUGUACUGGACGUCCUGGCCUUCCCUCCGGUUCUCCGCCGGUGCUCUUGACUGAGUGUCGGCGGCGGCCGGAACGUUU
rnacentral:ncRNA from 1 species